rnacentral:rRNA from 1 species
CAACAGGGAUUGCCCCAGUAACGGCGAGUGAAGCGGCAAUAGCUCAAAUUUGAAAUCUGGCUCUUUUAGGGUCCGAGUUGUAAUUUGCAGAGGGCGCUUUGGCGUUGGCAGCGGUCCAAGUUCUUUGGAACAGGACGUCACAGAGGGUGAGAAUCCCGUACGUGGUCGCUAUCCUUCGCCGUGUAAAGCCCCUUCGACGAGUCGAGUUGUUUGGGAAUGCAGCUCUAAAUGGGAGGUAAAUUUCUUCUAAAGCUAAAUACUGGCCAGAGACCGAUAGCGCACAAGUAGAGUGAUCGAAAGAUGAAAAGCACUUUGGAAAGAGAGUCAAAUAGCACGUGAAAUUGUUGAAAGGGAAGCGCUUGCAGCCAGACUUGCCUGUAGUUGCUUAUCCAGACUUUUGUCUGGUGCACUCUUCUGCGGGCAGGCCAGCAUCAGUUUGGGCGGUUAGAUAAAGGUCUCUGUCAUGUACCUCUCUUCGGGGAGGCCUUAUAGGGGAGACGACAUGUAACCAGCCUGGACUGAGGUCCGCGCAUCUGCUAGGAUGCUGGCGUAAUGGCUGUAAGCGGCCCGUCUUGAAACACGGACCAAGGAGUCUAACAUCUAUGCGAGUGUUUGGGUGUCAAGCCCAGACGCGUAAUGAAAGUGAACGGAGGUAAGAACCCUUUGGGUGCAUUAUCGACCGAUCCUGAUGUCUUCGGAAGGAUUUGAGUAAGAGCAUGGCUGUUGGGACCCGAAAGAUGGUGAACUAUGCUUGAAUAGGGUGAAGCCAGAGGAAACUCUGGUGGAGGCUCGCAGCGGUUCUGACGUGCAAAUCGAUCGUCAAAUUUGGGCAUAGGGGCGAAAGACUAAUCGAACU